GUCCUGAUAGUCCAGUGGUUAGACCGCCAGCUAACUGCAAACCCGUCGAAGAUUCGUUCAGCAGGCGCUCGGGUUCGACUCCCGGUCAGGUCG
rnacentral:tRNA from 1 species